AUAUAAUUGAAUUUUUGAAAGUUUGAUUAAAAGCUCUCUAGGAUUCAAUCUAUAAAUUAAGUUGAAUCCAGCUUAACAGAAUCAAUCGAAAAGAUGUCCAACAUUAUUUCUCACUUAGUUUACGUCAUGUUGGUUAUUUGUGUUCUUGCUUGUACAGUUUUGCAAUGCGCAUUUUGCAGCGGAGCAGGAGGCAACAAAAAUGCUGAUUUUGGGUUGAUUUCCAUUCCAAUUCUAAGCCAACUCAAACAAUGAUGAUUGAUUAUGAGUUUUUGUUAUGAAAGGUAUUUGGUUUUCAUUGAAAGAAAAUAAAAGCUGGAAGUGAAAAUUUCAA